CAAUAAAAUCAAAGAUUGCGUCUGGGAUUUUGUUUUCGCAAGCCUUAAAAGAAAACCAACUCAAAUAAGCGGCAGCGCAGCCCGGCCAAUGCGAGUCCCAGUCCCCCCAGCUCCAUCCCCGUGAGACGCCAGCAAAAAGUAUUUGGAACAGUUUCGGAAUGUUUUUAAUUGCAUAUAUUAAUGACACAAACGGAUUACUUAAAUUUUAUGUGUUAAAGAUUGAGGAUUUCAACAGAUUUUAUUAAUACAUCCACUUUAUGAGAAUCGCCUACUUGUGGGUCACACACUCAUCAAGAAUGCGACCUGUUGAAACUGUGUAUUGUACAAAGGACAGCGCAGUUACAAUCACUGUCAAGAAGUAGUCAAAGGCAAAUUCACGAUCACAGGUGGUAUCCAAAAUGAUCACAUUAAGCAACGGCUCCAAUUUUUGAUGCACAAUCAAAGAAGUGUGCUGUAAGCAAUCGAAAAGAUGACACUCAUCAGAGUCAAUUGAAUGCCCCAACUCACCUCGUUGUUGAGCACCUUGAGUGUAUGAUCGUGUGGGAAGGCCUUACGGACAUAUAAAAUAUUUAUGAGUACAAUCUGUUGCUGUAGAGUCAGCUCUUCGCUGCGUAAUCGAUCAGUGCACAAGCCAAUAAUAAAUACGUUGAGCAUUGGUAUUACAGCCGGGCCUAGGCAGCCAUCCGACAUGAUAUACACUUUGUUCUCAAUUUCAUCCGCAGCAUAGACUAUGCACUCAAUCAUCAACGUCAUGUUAAAAAUGCUCGUAAAAAUUGCUAAGUAGAUGGCCGAGGGCAGCCAGGCGACCUUCUUUUUGAUAUGUUGAUGCAAAUUGUUGAUACGUAAAUGUAUUUUGAAAAGACACAACAGACGGCGAUGGUAACGACCAGAUAUAAAACUUUGACUCCCAUGAUAUUCGAUGAAGCGUUGCAAGAAGAAGCUAAAGUUGCGAUACCAAUUGAGCAAAAUCAACUGAUAGAUGAAAUAGCCAAGGCUACAAUACUCCAUUAGUACCCAAUAGAAAAAGUUUAUCCAGAGAAAGUAGGGCUUGUGCCACAUAGAGUCCAGCAUAACGUACAACAAAUACUGCUUGAAAAAGUAAACACACAACAGGCACAGCUCACAGUGAUAAAUCAUACCAAACUUGCUCUCAAUGGUGCGUGUUAUGAAGAAGAUCUCGUUGACCACAUGCAUUAUCAAUUUGCGAUCUUCCUGCGAAUGUAAAAAGAUCGUUACACGACGCAGUACAUACAUGGUUAGGCCUUGCAUGACUAUGCCGAUCAAAAAGUUCUGUCCCCCGCUGUCUUCCACUUUAAAUAAAUGUAUCCAAACGACGAACCCAAGUACCAUAUAAUCCACCGCAUCGCGAAGAAAAACCAAACACUUAACCGUCACAACUAACUUGGAGAUGAUACGAUGAUACUGCAUCUCCUCCAUUCGCUUAUGUUGUUUAUUGUAGCGCAGCUUGAAAAAAUGACAUCCCCGUGCGAUGCCAUAGAGCAGCCAGGCACUACACUGGAAAAAACGGCGAUAGACUGCCUGAGCAAGCCCGCCACGCAGCAACCUGAUGUCCUGGCUAUUCCACAUGACGGCAAUUGAACAAAUGAAAGCCGGUCAUGAUGUGUAUCAGGCUGGUUUGUUCGAGUUUUUGUUAUUUAUGUGUUGACCAUUAACGGGCGAAUUAAUCGAAAUGACCUAGGCAAUUGGCGCACAAUUAUUCUCUGGUGCAAGAAAGAAAAAAAUCAAUAUUGUGUGGAAGAGAUGAGUUCAAGCCUCAGCAAUAAUAAUACAUAUUACUUAGCAUAUUUCGAGAACGAAAGGCGAGGCAUAUAAAACAACUCAGACAAUAACCAAAAUUAACAACAGCGUGGGAAAUAAAGUUAUACAGAUCAAUUGAGAACAUUUUCUAAAGAGGCUUACACGGAGAUAGACAAGAGCAAAUGCAACAUUAUAACUGUGAUAUAUUUGAGAUGAAAACUAUUAACAUUUUUAAACAAUUUUUGGCAACAAAUCUACAAAGUGCUCAACAAAUAAUAAGUAGCUUAACAAAUAUGGUUCGCCUCUUCUUUGGGUUUUCUUUUUUCUUGUUUUUUGAUUAAUGGUCCCGCUCAUAAAGUGACACAUUGAAAAUUGGAAAGCAAAUCAAGCACAAAAAGCAGCCGAAAAGUCGCAAGGCAAACGCAUGAAAUCAGCACAAAAAUAAAUAAAUAAUAAAAGGCAAGGGCGAGCGGGCGAACGGGCCAAGGAAAUUGUUGCUAAAAGUGUAAAAACUCGAGCCUCUGCCCAAAAGGUCGUCAAAGUGAAAAAUUCGAUAAACGAAAAUGGACAACGCCAGCAAAAGCAGCGACUGCGACGGCGACGGCGACUGCGAUGGCGACUGCGAAGUUGAGAGCAACAAUGGCGCAGCGCACGAAUUGAAACGGAAAUCCUUAUUGAACUAGAGUGAUCCUGAGGGGGCUGGGCCUGGAGGAGCAGGAAGCUGAACGGCGCGCAAGAAUCGCCGGCCGCGCUGCUGCGUUCGCAAACCGGAAAAGCAUGCUGCCGAAAAUUUGUGCUGAGUGGCAGCUGAGAGCUUCUCCGGCUGCUCCUGCUGCUGCUGCUGCUUGGAGGCUCCGGCGUUGUUCUGCUGCUGUCCAGCGGCGGAUGCCUAAUGGCAACGCGACACAAAACACAGACGCACACACGCAACGCGCCGGAAAUGGCUGGAAAUGCCCUUUUCCAAGGCGACUUGGCCAUAUCGAGGCAGCAAAUGUCACUCAAGCAGCAGUUGCAGAGACGCAAAUGUAUCAUUGGCAAGAGGAGAAAUCAUUUUAAAGCACAUACUUGGAGGCCUUUUAUCAAUGGCAUGCUCAUAUCCAUUUCUGCAAACGUUUAACAUUUAUUCAUUCAAUCAUAUCCACUGUGGAUGCACUAUGUGCCCUACAUAUUUUAAGUUAAUGAUUAAUAUG